rnacentral:rRNA from 1 species
AUUGAACGCUGGCGGCAGGCCUAACACAUGCAAGUCGAACGAGUGGCGGACGGGUGAGUAAUGUCUGGGAAACUGCCUGAUGGAGGGGGAUAACUACUGGAAACGGUAGCUAAUACCGCAUACCAUCGGAUGUGCCCAGAUGGGAUUAGCUAGUAGGUGGGGUAAUGGCUCACCUGGGCGACGAUCCCUAGCUGGUCUGAGAGGAUGACCAGCCAAACUGGAACUGAUACACGGUCCAGACUACUACGGGAGGCAGCAGUGGGGAAUAUUGAGCGAUGGGCGCAAGCCUGGAGCAGCCAUGCCGAGUGUAUGAAGAAGGCCUUCGGGUUGUAAAGUACUUACAGCGGGGAGGCGUUACCCGCAGAAGAAGGACCGGCUAACUCCGUGCCAGCAGCCGCGGUAAUAC